UCUUGGAAUUUGAACCUGGCAUUUUUGCUUGGGUUCUAAUUCUAAGAAAGAGAACCUGCCUGCUUCAAACAACACGCAAAUUAAGGUGUGACUUUUGGCUCCAUUUUUUGUUAUAUAUAGCUAUCAUCUGCUCUGGAAUAAGCUGGAUUUCUUCCACUGAGUUCAUAUCUCCUUCUGUCUUUUUUGAAAUGCAUUUUAAAGCCUCAUGUUUCUUUCUGGAAAAUCUACCAUAAUGUAACAACAGAUUUUAAAUCUUAUAUGUAUAUUAAUCAGGAUGCCAACAACCACAAUCUAAUACAGUCCUUACCUUUUACUGACAACGUGAAUUUUAAUUAAGUGCAUAAUUAAGAUCUGAAAUGCAGAAUGUAUUUUUGGUCCUGUUUACUGUGUGCAAGAAACUCUAACAUGGAAUAAAGUUGGCCUCCCUGCUACAAAGACUCAACGUAUUACAAAACAAGUGAAUGGCAGCUACAACUGGGUUUUCAAAGACAAGAAACAAGCUUGAUGUUCAUCAAGGCCGUGAGAGAUGUACAUCCAUAGCAUGCUUCCAUGUGCUUCCCUCAAAAGAACACAGGUGGCAACGAUGAACCAGACUUGAGAGCGACAAGGGCAACACUCCGGGAGAUGGUACAGCCCCAAGAAAGAAGGAAUCUAGAUGAGCAUCAUGGAGUUCCCCUGAGUGCCUAUGACCCAGGUUUCAGAUGAGAUACAAUGACCUGGGUCAAGGUAUGAUAAAGUGAGGGUAAAAGCUGUAAAGUGAGGAUGAUAAUGGAACUACAUUCGUUGGAGCAACUCUAGCUGAUGUCAUAAACUGAUGCAAAAAAAAAAAAAAAAAAAAAAACAUGAAAAGGCUCAAACACAAUUGGCACUUAUUUCUUGCUGAUGCGGCAGUGCUGAAUGGUUCCGGAAGGGCGUGACUGUGGUUGGGCAAGCAGGAAUCUCGGCUCCCUGCUAUCACUCAGGGCCAGGAAGAUAGAGUGCUGCCAUCUUUAAGAGGCAUCUCCCUGCAAGAGGAAGAACCAUGGAAGAUCACAUAGAUAUUUUUAUGGGCCAGGCCUGGAAGUGGCCCAAAUUACCUCUAUUAACAUUCUGUUGGCUAGAAUAUCAUACGGCCACACCGCACCACAAGAAAGGCUAGGGAAUGUAGCACAGCUAUAGCCCAGGAAUAGUUCUGGACAGUUAGAAUUCUCUGGCACGAGUGCUAUGUUAGCCCCUGGAGGGCAAAGAAGAUUUUUGUCUAUUUUUUUCCAGUCCUGUGUUCCAAGUAUCUAGAACCAGGGUUAGCAAACCUUUUCCAUAAGAGGCUAGAUAGGAAAUAUCUAGCUUUUGUGGGCCACACAGUCUCCAACACAACUAAUCAUCUCUGCUGUGGUAGCAUCAUACAGAUGUGAAUGCGUGAGGAUGGCUGUGUUCCAAUAAAACUUUAUUUACAUAAACGGGCA
rnacentral:lncRNA from 1 species